rnacentral:tRNA from 1 species
AAACUUAAAUAGUUUAAAUAAAAAUAUUAAUUUGUGGAAUUAAAGAUAUUAAAUUAAUUUUAAG